ACCACCGCCCCCUCCCGAUCCACUCCUCUCCCCGCCUCAUCCCUCCCACAGCUCGCCACCGACGGCCUCUCCUCUCCCAUUCCCUUCCAUCCCACAGCACGCGAAACGCCUCCACCUUGAUCCAACGCGCCGCCGCCUCCUCCCCGAUCCAGAUCCUAACACAACCCGCCCUCUUCCUCCCUCAGAUCUCGAUCCACCGCCGCCCCCACCCCCAACAUCGACGACCCUCGCUGCAGACGAGAUCACCGCGUCUCCUCCUCCCCUCUCCCGCGUCCCAUCCUGCACCCUCGGCCGCCGCCUCGCCCUCCACAGCGCCGGCCAUGAACGCACCGGCGCCGCUAGGCCACCGCGGGCACCGCGUCGAGCAGCGCAACUACGAGAAAUGGGAGGAGGAGGACGUCAGGUGGCAGCCCGUCAGGCUCGUGCCCGGGGACUACAUCCUGCUCCGCCACGCCAGCGGCCGCUUCCUCCGCGCCAACGGGAAGUACCUCCCCUAGAACAACGGCGCCAACAUCGACGACUUCGACACCAUCAGCACGAUGACUCACUGGGUCGUGGAGCGCAUCACAGCCAGGGAGGGCAUGCCUGAGGUGAGCCCGCUUCUUGAUUCUUCCCGAAUUUGCACGAAUUUGAUUGUGAUGGGUUCGUUAUGUUCUCUUGGUGCUUGACUAGACAGCGUGUCCCAGGCCAGCACCGGAUCACCGGGAGGAGGAGCUUGCUGCAGACCAAGAUGGGUACGUUGUCUCCAUUCUUAUUCUUGCUCAGUUUAAUCCCCUGACAGUUUCGGGGUAGGUGCAAAGGGUGAAAGGAUUUGGUCUGAUCUUAUAUACCACUCCUGUAGUCAUGUGUUACCUGAAUUUGAGAUAGGUAUGUGACAGAUUGCCUGGGUGGAUUUUUUCCUUGUUAAUGUGUAAGGGAUUUUGCGUGCGUAUGCCUGUUCUGCAAUCAGCCGCAUUUGAUGGUGCGCAUACUGAACAUACCUGUUUCCAAUUCCAUACAUCACAUGCAUGUUAACUGAAUAUAAGAUACCGUUUAUGGAGUUUCUGAACUGGUGAGAAACAAAGUUAAGCGGUUUACUACUGGUCGAUGCAUCUUCGGUUUUGUUUUAAUGGAGUGCUAUCCAGCUUGUGUAAUGAAACUGUUAAUUAAUCCCAAAAGCAGUUUACUGAAACUUCUGCUACUCUAGUUCAGUUAAGACUUGGGAGUUUGUCUGAACUGUUGUGUUUGAUAUAAGUAGAAGUAGUUGAAUGCUAUACAGUGGUCUGAAGCUAAUUAGUUGAUUUGAAAAUUAUUGGUUUUGAACUGACCAUGAUUUGGUUGAAUCCAGUUCUUCAAUUUAAUCUAGUAGGUGUGUACAAAACGUGGUCUGAAGCUUGUUGGUAGAAAAUCAUUACAUAAGGCACAUAUUCACACUAAACCUUGACACAAAAAUUAUUGGUUUCAUACUACUGUCCUUGAUACAGUUAGUAUUAAUAAUCUUUGACAUUUUGUACUACUUCCUCCUGCUAGGGUUUUGGUGGUGGGGGUGGACCUCUUCGUUGUGCACGGCUGAGAUGAACGUCCUCGGCGGUGGUGGCAGCGCGUGUGAGAUCCUCCUCCAUGACAAGGCCGCCGCCGGAUCAGCUCCUCUCUAUCGAUGGAUCCUCGCCUCUCCGACAAGGCCGCCACCGGAUCCCCUCCUCUCCAAUAGCAACGCCUCCGGAUCCACUCGUCCUCGACAACGAUGGCACCAAGGAGCACCAGGAGCUUCGGAUCCGCUCGCCAGAAGAAGGCUGUGAAGAUCUUCCCCCGCCCUACCUCUGGACCUCUUCGCCCCAUCGUGCAACGCCAGACGCGCAAGUACAACAUGAAGGCCAGGGCUGGUAGGGGCUUUACCCUUGAGGAACUUAAGGAGUCGGUCGUCAUUCAUUCAUUCCCUUGUACUGCUUUGUUUGUCUGAUCCUCACAAGUUAAUGCUUCGCUUGUCCGGGUGUGUGAUAAUGCCAUGUGUCUUAUGCAAUCAGAUUACAUUUCUGUUUGUUAUGGUAAUAUAAAAAAUAUUCGUGCUGUCAAAAUUUUCAUAGUGUGUGCCUUUCAUUUCUUUAGUUUGAUUGUUUCCCUUGUAUUCAAUAUGCUUCUAGUGGCUGAUCCUUCCAUUUUUGUUGUGGCAUCUUUAUUUUCACAGGUGUUGUGUGUUCUGGAAGAUGGAAGAGGAAGAAAACCUAUUUUUAUUGAACUAAAUUUUCUGUAUUUUAUUUUGUUGUACGUAUCAUUUGAUAGUUUUGUAUAGGAACAAGUGAUACUAUUUUGUAGGGCUUUAUGGCCUGUGAUGUAAACAUAUUUAGUGUUGAAAUAUGAAAUUAUAUGCAAAAUUUGUCAAAAAGGUGGAACAUAUGUAUGAAUAGUGAAUGGGCUGAAAAGAGUACUGGACCAACUCCAGGAUUGAAUUAAUAUUUGAAUGUAUAAAAAGGCCAAAUAUAAACCAGAAAUGGGCUGAACAAAAUUGUACAUAUAUUCUUGAAAGGCCAAACAUGCAUAAAAAUUGAUGGGCUGACCAGUUGGGCUUGGCCCAUGUAG